GACCUGACAUGAUAAUACUACAGGUACCACACCAAGCAGUACAGACCUGACAUGAUAAUACUACAGGUACCACACCAAGCAGUACAGACCUGACAUGAUGAUACUACAGGUACCACACCAAGCAGUACAGACCUGACAUGAUGAUACUACAGGUACCACACCAAGCAGUACAGACCUGACAUGAUGAUACUACAGGUACCACACCAAGCAGUACAGACCUGACAUGGUGAUACUACAGGUACCACACCAAGCAGUACAGACCUGACAUGGUGAUACUACAGGUACCACACCAAGCAGUACAGACCUGACAUGAUGAUACUACAGGUACCACACCAAGCAGUACAGACCUGACAUGAUGAUACUACAGGUACCACACCAAGCAGUACAGACCUGACAUGAUAAUACUACAGGUACCACACCAAGCAGUACAGACCUGACAUGAUGAUACUACAGGUACCACACCAAGCAGUACAG